rnacentral:pre_miRNA from 1 species
AGCGGUGAAGCGACUGUUGCCUCGAAACAUACGGCGGCGCUCGAGGAACGCUCGCUUCACGGCUC